UCUUUCCAAAACAAACUAGAUAAGAUGCAGAUUGGAUCAAGUGAAGAUGUGAACGAUCUCAACUAUUAUUAUGACAAUGAAUGGUGGGUAGCACGUGGUGGAAAUUGAUGGAUCGGUGGUGGACAGCGGAAGAGAUAAUGAUGCAGCGGUGGCGUGACUAAUGUGAACAGAACUCGAAACUCUAAACGAACUAGACACUAAGACCAGCAAUUCGACACGACGAUGCAACCGAUAAUUCAACUAUGCAAACAAUGAAAAGAAAAUUGCAAAGCCUCAGACUGGCUUGGACCAAGGAUGAAUAGAUCUAACUCUUUUUUUGUGGCUUUUUCUUGGACAAUAGGUAAGAAAAUAAAUCUAAUCUAGGAAAACUGGAAAUUCUCAUUGAGCAACCUGAAAACUGAUACCACUUGAUAGAGGCGGGGUGUCCCGAUCUUUCGAUGAGAUGAUAACUAUCGAUUUGGUGGAGACGACUUUGACGAUCCGACUACAAACGUGCAACGACGUUGUGCCUUAGCAAUCGCUAAACCAACUCCGAGAGGUUAUUGACCACGCUAGAACAUGAUCAACCUGACCACGAAGGUCUAUUCCUGCAAGCAAUAGAAGAACAAGCAAGAAUAUGAUAAAAGCAAUCUAAAUAUCGCGAAUAUGUAUGAAGUAUUGAUAAUGGUGGGGAUCCGAAAAGUGGUCUUGGUCUGGUCGUUGGACACAAACGAAGCACACGAAGUUGCAAUGGCUAACUUUUAACUAAACAAAUCCCAAGGAAAAAGCUACUAGAUGGAUCUACUUAUAUAGGAGCAAGGGGUGGCGGCCAAGGAGGUGGGAGGACGUCCCAAGGUAGCCUAAAACUAACCCUAGGUCGUACAAGGCUCAUGGGCCCAAGUGGAGGUGAUGCAACACCUUUGGGCUUGUAGUUUGACUCGGAUUCUGCUGCAACGUCAGAUUGUUUCAUCCGUAACUCAACGCUCCGGACGAAUUUGAAGGUGAAUCUAAUUGGGUUGGAAAGAGCACGAAAUCUAGUUUCCAACAAAAAAAGAAUCACCCAAUUCGGAGUCCGUAUGAAAAAGUUGUUGGCGUUUUGAGUCAGAUAUGUCUGUGCAGUCCGAAUCUGAAUCCAGAACGUGAGAGACUUCGAUUCUAUCUUCUCUUGGCCCAAAAGUGACGUGAGAGGACUUUUUGAACACAACCUAAACUUCUCCUUUUCCCUUAUCUUCAUAUGUGGAUUGUACAAAUGUCCCAUACACCUGCAAUUAGACAAAACACAAAAGUGUGUGAAGUAUUUUUGUUCUGGAUAACAUAAAUAGAUUAUUGAAUAGUUUGCAUUAGAAAUCACCUGACAAACAUGCAUGUAUGCAAUAUUUUUGGUCGUAUCCAAGGUAUUCAUGUCCUCAUCAGGACUUGACGUCACGGUCCAAGACGAUAAUCUUUGGCACUCCAUGUAGAUGCAAUAUUUCCCUACAAAAGAGAAUAGCAACAUGUGAAGCAUCGUCUAUCUUGUUGCAAGAAAUUAAAUGUGCCAUUUUUGAGAAACGGUCCACAACGACAAACACCGAAUCUUUCCCAUUUCAAGUCCUAGGCAAACCAAGUACAAAGUCCAUGCUAAUGUCUUCCCAUGGUUGAUAUGGAAUUGGUAGAGGCAUAUAAAGGCCAUGAGAUUGAGCUUUGGACUUAGCUUUGCGACAUGUAGAGCAUCGGUUGGUGAAGCGAUUGACGUCACGAAACAUCUUAGGCCAAUAGUAGUUCUUUGAUAGCGUAGCGAACGUCUUGUCGCGUCCAAAAUGUCCCAUUAAGCCUCCUCCAUGAGAUUCCUGCAAAAGCAACAAACGAAGAGAAGGCUCGGGGAUGCAAAGUUUGUUAGCUCUCAUAAGAUAUCCAUCUUUGAUGUAAUAGCAUUCCCAAGAUGUAUGCGUCAAACACUUGGCAUAAGGAGUAGCAAAGGUAGGAUCGUGCUCAUACAAGUCUUUGAUAUGCUCAAAACCAAUGACAUCCAAUUCAAGUUGAGUAACAAGCAUGCAUAUGCGGGAAAGGGCAUCCACUACAAUGUUUUCUUUACCUUUAAUGUACUUGAUGGCAUAAGGAAAAGACUCGAUAAAUUCACUCCAUUUCGCAUGACGCAUGUUCAACUUGGUUUGGCCCUUAAGGUACUUGAGCAUUUCAUGAUCUGUAUGAAUGAUAAACUCAUGAGGGCGAAGAUAGUGUUCCCAUUCAUGCAAAACGCGGACUAAAGCAUAUAGCUCUUUGUCAUAGAUAGGGUAAUUGAGUUGCGCGCCGAAGAGUUUCUCACUAAAGCUAUGGGGCGCUUCUCUUGCGUUAACACACCUCCUAUGCCAUUACCACUAGCAUCGAAAUGAAUCUCAAAGGGUUUGUCAAAGCAUGAUUAAGCAAAUUCUUAAGCUCAUUGAAAGCAGUAUCUUGGGAUGGUCCCCAAACAAAAGGCGCACUCUUCUUGCUCAAAGCAUGCAAAGGCGAAGCAAUGGUGCUAAAAUCCUUCACAAAGCGACAAUAGAAACCCGCAAGGCCAAGAAAACUAUGCACAUGUUGCAAGUUGGUUGGUUGUGGCCAAGUCUUAAUAGCAUUGAUCUUGGACUCAUCAACAUGAUCACCCUUAGAAGAAACAACAAAACCCAAGAAAACGAGCUUAUCAACGCAAAAAAGGCAUUUCUCCAUAUUAGCAUAGAGUUGCUAUUUUCGAAGAGUUUGCAAAACGGUUCGAGCAUGGGUGACAUGAUCUUUAAGAGAUUUUCUACGAACAAGGAUAUCAUCAAAGUAGACCACAACAAAUAUACCAAUGUAAGGGCGAAAGACACGAUUCAUAAGAUGCAUAGAAGUACCCGGUGCUUCCGAUAGACCCAUAGGCAUGACUAACCACUCAUACAAGCCAAAUUUGGUUUUGAAAGCGGUUUUCCAUUCAUCACCCUCUUGUAUGUGGAUUUGAUAGUAACCACUCUUAAGGACAAUUUUGCAAAAGAUAGUGGCACCACUAAGCUCAUCAAGCAUAUCAUCUAGGCGUGGAAUGGGAUACCUAUAGCGAACGAUGAUAGCAUUGAUGGGUCUACAAUCGGAGCACAUGCGAAAGUUACCGUCUCGUUUUGGCACAAGAAUGACCGGGAUGGCACAAGGGCUCAAACUUUCACGCACAUGUCCAUGGUCUAUGAGAUGCUUUACUUGCCUUUGUAUUUCUUUGGUUUCUUCGGGGUUGACGCGGUAGGGAGCUUUGUUCGGAAGCGGUGCUCCGGGGAUGAGGUAGAUGCGGUGAUCAAUGCCUCAUAGUGGAGGUAGUCCCGGAGGUAGCUCGUCGGGGAAAACAUUGUGAAAUCGAUGCAAAAGAGAAGACAACACUAGAGGAAGAGUGUGAGAAGUAUUAGUUUGUGGGACAUUGUCCUUGCACACAAGGACGUAGUUAGGACACUAGAUGGGUUCUCACACACUCCUCUUAUCUCACUUUUGGUGGCAAAUAGGACUAAGUUCUUCUUUUCGCUCAUCGUGGAGGUGUUCGAUUUGGGCUUGUGGCGCUCACUCUCUUUUUGGUGGCUCUCUCUCUCACUAUGAUCUCCGCGAUGGGUGGCUUGCUUAUCGGCGACAACUUGGCUUGGACACAUGGGACGAAGUACAUACUCCUUGCCCUUCAUCUUGAAGAUGUAGUAGUUCGUUCGGCCGUUGUGGAUGACUCCUCUAUCAAAUUGCCAUGGGCGUCCAAGGAGAAGAUGGAAAAUGGUCAUUGGAAUGACGUCGCACUCCAAGGUGUCUUCGUAGGCGCCAAUUUUGAAGGAGACUUGUACUCGGUGCUCGACUUGGAUGGUGCCGGAGUCGCUAAGCCAUUGCACUUUGUAUGUAUGUGGGUGCUUCAUCUUGGGCAAUUGGAGCUUGGAGCAAAGUUCUUCACUUGCGAGGUUAUGACAAUUUCCUCCCUCAAUGAUGAUCUUGACGGAUCGUCCAUUGAUGCCGGCCUUGGUGUGGAAUAUGUGGCAGCGUUGGUCUUCUUCUUGGUGAUGUUGGAGAGUCAAGACCUUGGAGACAACAAGAGCGGGACUUGAAUCUUCAUCGCAAAAGACUUGUUCCUCUUCAUCGUUCACUUGCCGGUGCAUGGCGACUUGCUCGAUGGCGUCCAUUUCUUCUUCACUCAUUGAAUCAUAGGUGCCGUCGUCAUUGAGGAUCAUGGUCCGCUUGUUGGUGCACUCAUAGGACUUGUGGCCUCGGCCUCUGAUAGAGGCGAGGGUGUCCCGAUCUUUCGAUGAGAUGAUAACUAUCGAUUUGGUGGAGACGACUUUGACGAUCCGACUACAAACGUGCACGACGUUGCGCCUUAGCAAUCGCUAAACCAAUCUCCUGAGGUUACUGAUGAUGCCGGAAGCACGGUCAGCCUGACCACGAAGGUCUAUUCCUGCAAGCAAUCGAAGAACGAGCAAGAAUAUGAUAAAGCAAUCUGAAUAUUGCAAAUAUAUAUGAGGUAUUGAUAAUGGUGGGGAUCCGUAAGCGGUCUUGGUCUGGUCGUUGGACACAAACGAAGUACACGAAGUUGCAAUGGCUAACUUUUACCUAAACAAAUCCCCAGGAAAAGCUACUAGAUGGAUCUACUUAUAUAGGAGCAAGGGGUGGCGGCCAAGGAGGUGGGAGGACGUCCCAAGGCAGCCUAAAACUAAAUUUAGGUCAUACAAGGCCAAUGGGCCCAAGUGGAGGUGAUGUAACACCUUUGGACUUGUAGUUUGACUCGGAUUCUGCUGCAGUAUCAGAUUGUUUCGUCCACAACUCAACGCUCCGGACGAAUUUGAAGGUGAUUCCAAUUGGGUUGGAAAGUGCACGAAAUCUAGUUUCCAACAAAAAAAGAAUCACCCAAUUCGGAGUCCGUAUGAAAAACUUGUGUGCGUUUUGAGUCAGGUGUGUCUGUGGAGUCCGAAUCUGAAUCCAGAACGUGAGAGACUUGGACUCUAUCUUCUCUUGGGCCAAAAGUGACGUGAGAGAACUUUUUGGACAGCAAAUAAACAUCUCUUUCUUCCUUAUCAUCAUAUGUGGAUUGUACAAAUGUCCCAUACACCUGCAAUUAGACAAAACACAAAAGUGUGUGAAGUAUUUUUGUUCUGGAUAACAAAAAUAGAUUAUUGAAUAGUUUGCACUAGAAAUCACCUGACAAAUAUGCAUAUAUGCAAUAUUUUUGGUCAUAUCCAAGGUAGUCAUGUCCUCAUCAUCCUCCCCUUCUUGAAAAUAAAGCCGUCCUCGGCGUUGCUUAAUCUGAAAUGUGGCUAACAAAAGAGACAAGGUGUAUAUGUUGUAUAUGUAUAUGUCAUCCAUUUUUACUUCCCUUGAUUUUUGCAUAUAUGACACAUGAAUAGAUGAGUAACUUGCAUAGUUCAUAAAAUCUAAAGCCAAAAAAUUAGCACAAGAAGUAGAAGGCAUGAAAAUAUUGCAACUCAGUUUGCACAUAUGAUAGAGGCAAAGGUGUCCCGUCUUUCGAUGAGAUGGUGGAUUUCGCUUUGGUGGAAGUCGACUUUGACGAUCCGACUACGAACAUGCGAGGACGUCACGCCUUAGCAAUCGCUAAACCAACUCCGAGAGGUUAUUGACCACGCCGGAGCACGAUCAACCUGACCACGAGGGUCUGUUUCCUGCGAGCAAACGAAGAACAAGCAAGAAACUAAGAUUGCAAUCUGGAUAUUGCGAAUAUAAGAUGAAAUCUUUAUUGAUCAAGGUGGGGUUCUGUGACGCCUUUGUCUGGUCGUUGAACACAAACGAAGUACGCGAAGUUGCAGCUAUGGCGAACUUUUAAUCUAAACAAAACCCAAAGUCUAAACGAUGCCCUAAGGGCUGUAUAUAUGGAGGAAGAGGGGGGAAUUUCGUGGCCCUUGGUGGAGGGGUCCGAAAUCAACCCUAUCUCUUGUUUCCCCACACAUACGGACUCUAAAAAUAGCCUAUACUUAUGUAUUUCGAAAUUACAUGGGCCUGGCCCAAUAAUAAGGUGACGCAGCACCUAAAAUAGCCUCGGGACGAAAUUUAUGAAGUGGCAUCUUGUAUAUUUCGUCCAAGGCUUCAUGCACCCAUUAUGGUGGCUUCGAAGUCCUGAAAUCAUCACUUGUAACUCCGUUCUUGUUCCCCUUGCGCAUGCCAUCAUCUCCAUGCUUGUUCUUGCUCCAAUGUUCAUCCUUCUCCAAGCUAGGCCCUUCAUUUGUAAGCAAAACAAAUGUAUCCAAUUUAGGCAGCAUCAUAUUCUCAUGAACAUUAGAAUCAUUACCAAGAAACGAAAGUACCUGGUAAUUUAGUUGGCGUGCACGAGCUCUAGUAAUUGGUCCAGUAUGUAUAGCAGCAGGGGCUGUGGGUGUAACAAUUGUAUUUAUGUCCUUAUCAUGGGAAGUGCACCUUUUGCACCGACCGAGUAUCUUUUCUUGGCUAUGUUGUUACUCCACAGGGAAUUGAAGUUGAUAAAGCCAAGAUUGAAGCUAUUGAGAUUUGGCCGCAGCCCAAAACGGUCACACAAGUGAGGAGUUUUCUUGGCCUCGCUGGAUUCUAUGGGCGUUUUGUGAGAGAUUUCAGCACCAUUGCUGCACCUCUCAAUGAGCUUACAAAGAAAGAUGUGCCUUUUCUUUCGGUACCGCACAGGAAGAAGCCUUCUCGGUAUUGAAAGAUAAGUUGACACAUGCUCCUUUACUCCAACUUCCUGAUUUUAAUAAGACUUUUGAGCUUGAAUGUGAUGCUAGUGGAAUUGGAUUAGGCGGUGUGUUAUUACAAGAUGGCAAACCUGUUGCAUACUUUUCUGAAAAAUUGAGUGGGCCUAGUCUGAAUUAUUCUACUUAUGAUAAAGAAUUAUAUGCUCUUGUUCGGACUUUAGAAACAUGGCAACAUUAUUUAUGGCCCAAAGAAUUUGUUAUACAUUCUGAUCAUGAAUCUUUGAAACAUAUUAAAAGUCAAGCUAAACUGAAUCGUAGACAUGCUAAAUGGGUUGAAUUCAUUGAGACUUUUCCUUAUGUCAUUAAACACAAGAAGGGAAAAGAAAAUGUUGUUGCUGAUGCAUUGUCUCGCCGCUAUACUAUGCUUUCACAACUUGACUUCAAAAUAUUUGGUUUGGAGACCAUCAAAGAUCAAUAUGUGCAUGAUGCUGAUUUUAAAGAUGUAAUGCAGAAUUGUAAAGAAGGAAGAAUGUGGAACAAGUUCGUCGUUAACGAUGGAUUUGUGUUUCGUGCUAACAAGCUAUGCAUUCCAGCUAGCUCCGUUCGUCUUUUGUUGUUGCAGGAGGCGCAUGGAGGAGGAUUAAUGGGACACUUUGGCGUGAAGAAGACGGAGGACGUACUUGCUACACAUUUCUUUUGGCCAAAGAUGAGACGGGAUGUUGAGCGUUUUAUUGCUCGCUGCACUACAUGUCAAAAAGCUAAGUCACGACUCAAUCCUCAUGGUUUAUAUAUGCCUUUGCCUGUACCUAGUGUUCCUUGGGAGGAUAUAUCUAUGGACUUUGUUUUAGGUUUACCUCGAACAAAGAAGGGGAGGUAUAGCAUAUUUGUUGUCGUGGAUAGAUUCUCGAAAAUGGCACACUUUAUACCAUGUCAUAAAAGCGAUGAUGCUGUUAAUGUUGCUGAUUUGUUCUUUCGUGAAAUUAUUCGUUUGCAUGGUGUGCCAAAUACUAUUGUUUCAGAUCGUGAUACUAAAUUUCUUAGCCACUUUUGGAGAUGUUUAUGGGCUAAGUUGGGGACUAAACUGCUUUUUAGUACUACUUGUCACCCCCAAACUGAUGGACAAACUGAAGUAGUCAAUAGAACGUUGUCUACUAUGCUUAGGGCUGUUUUGAAGAAUAAUAAGAAAAUGUGGGAGGAAUGCUUGCCUCAUAUUGAAUUUGCUUAUAAUCGUUCAUUGCAUUCUACUACUAAGAUGUGCCCUUUUGAAGUUGUGUAUGGUUUCCUACCUCGUGCACCUAUUGAUUUGUUGCCUCUUCCAUCUUCGGAUUUUGGGGUUAGUCCCACUUUUAACAUUGCAGAUUUGAAGCCUUAUUUGGGUGACGAAGAUGAACUUCCGUCGAGGACGACUUCAUUUCAAGAAGGGGAGGAUGAUGAGGACAUCAAUACAAUUGUUACACCCACAGCCCCUGCUGCUAUACAUACUGGACCAAUUACUAGAGCUCGUGCACGCCAACUAAAUUACCAGGUACUUUCGUUUCUUGGUAAUGAUUCUAAUGUUCAUGAGAAUAUGAUGCUGCCUAAAUUGGAUACAUUUGUUUUGCUUACAAAUGAAGGGCCUAGCUUGGAGAAGGAUGAACAUUGGAGCAAGAACAAGCAUGGAGAUGAUGGCAUGCGCAAGGGUAACAAGAACGGAGUUACAAGUGAUGAUUUCAGGACUUUGAAGCCACCAUAAUGGGUGCAUGAAGCCUUGGACGAAAUAUACAAGAUGCCACUUCAUAAAUUUCGUCCCGAGGCUAUUUUAGGUGCUGCGUCACCUUAUUAUUGGGCCAGGCCCAUGUAAUUUCGAAAUACAUAAGUAUAGGCUAUUUUUAGAGUCUGUAUGUGUGGGGAAACAAGAGAUAGGGUUGAUUUCGGACCCCUCCACCAAGGGCCACGAAAUUCCCCCCUCUUCCUCCAUAUAUACAGCCCUUAGGGCAUCGUUUAGACUUUGGGGUUUUGUUUAGAUUAAAAGUUCGCCAUAGCUGCAACUUCGCGUACUUCGUUUGUGUUCAACGACCAGACAAAGGCGUCACAGAACCCCACCUUGAUCAAUAAAGCUUUCAUCUUAUAUUCGCAAUAUCCAGAUUGCAAUCUUAGUUUCUUGCUUGUUCUUCAUUUGCUCGCAGGAAACAGACCCUCGUGGUCAGGUUGAUCGUGCUCCGGCGUGGUCAAUAACCUCUCGGAGUUGGUUUAGCGAUUGCUAAGGCGCGACGUCCUCGCACGUUCGUAGUCGGAUCGUCAAAGUCGACUUCCACCAAAGCGAUAUCCAUCAUCUCAUCGAAAGACGGGACACCUUUGCCUCUAUCAGUCCCCAACUUAGCCCAUAAACAUCUCCAAAAGUGGCUAAGAAAUUUAGUAUCACGAUCUGAAACAAUAGUAUUUGGCACACCAUGCAAGCGAAUAAUUUCACGAAAGAACAAAUCAGCAACAUUAACAGCAUCAUCGCUUUUAUGACAUGGUAUAAAGUGUGCCAUUUUCGAGAAUCUAUCCACGACAACAAAUAUGCUAUCCCUCCCCUUCUUUGUUCGAGGUAAACCUAAAACAAAGUCCAUAGAUAUAUCCUCCCAAGGAACACUAGGUACAGGCAAAGGCAUAUAUAAACCAUGAGGAUUGAGUCGUGACUUAGCUUUUUGACAUGUAGUGCAGCGAGCAAUAAAACGCUCAACAUCCCGUCUCAUCUUUGGCCAAAAGAAAUGUGUAGCAAGUACGUCCUCCGUCUUCUUCACGCCAAAGUGUCCCAUUAAUCCUCCUCCAUGCGCUUCCUGCAACAACAAAAGACGAACGGAGCUAGCUGGAAUGCAUAGCUUGUUAGCACGAAACACAAAUCCAUCGUUAACAACAAACUUGUUCCACAUUCUUCCUUCUUUACAAUUCUGCAUUACAUCUUUAAAAUCAGCAUCAUGCACAUAUUGAUCUUUGAUGGUCUCCAAACCAAAUAUUUUGAAGUCAAGUUGUGAAAGCAUAGUAUAGCGACGAGACAAUGCAUCAGCAAUAACAUUUUCUUUUCCCUUCUUGUGUUUAAUGACAUAAGGGAAAGUCUCAAUGAAUUCAACCCAUUUAGCAUGUCUACGAUUCAGUUUAGCUUGACUUUUAAUAUGUUUCAAAGAUUCAUGAUCAGAAUGUAUAACAAAUUCUUUGGGCCAUAAAUAAUGUUGCCAUGUUUCUAAAGUCCGAACAAGAGCAUAUAAUUCUUUAUCAUAAGUAGAAUAAUUCAGACUAGGCCCACUCAAUUUUUCAGAAAAGUAUACAAUAGGUUUGCCAUCUUGUAAUAACACACCUCCUAAUCCAAUUCCACUAGCAUCACAUUCAAGCUCAAAAGUCUUAUUAAAAUCAGGAAGUUGGAGUAAAGGAGCAUGUGUCAACUUAUCUUUCAAUACCGUGAAGGCUUCUUCCUGUGCGGUACCCCAAAGAAAAGGCACAUCUUUCUUUGUAAGCUCAUUGAGAGGUGCAGCAAUGGUGCUGAAAUCUCUCACAAAACGCCUAUAGAAUCCAGCGAGGCCAAGAAAACUCCUCACUUGUGUGACCGUUUUGGGCUGCGGCCAACUCUCAAUAGCUUCAAUCUUGGCUUUAUCAACUUCAAUUCCCUGUGGAGUAACAACAUAGCCAAGAAAAGAUACUCGGUCGGUGCAAAAGGUGCACUUCCCAAGGUUACCAAACAAACGUGCAUCACGUAGAGCAAUAAAAACAACACGUAAAUGUUCCAAAUGUUAUUCCAAAGAUCUGCUAUAAAUCAAUAUGUCAUCAAAGUAAACUACCACAAAUCGUCCAAUGAAAGCACGUAAAACUUCGUUCAUUAAUCUCAUGAAAGUACUAGGUGCAUUAGUUAACCCAAAAGGCAUGACUAACCACUCAUAUAAUCCAAACUUAGUUUUAAAUGCUGUUUUCCAUUCAUCUCCCAAUUUCAUACGAAUUUGAUGGUAGCCACUACGCAAAUCAACUUUGGAGAAUAUUGUAGAGCCACUCAAUUCAUCAAGCAUAUCAUCUAGCCUAGGAAUAGGAUGACGAUAACGAAUAGUAAUAUUAUUAAUGCCUCUACAAUCAACACACAUACGUGAUGUACCAUCCUUUUUCGGCACUAGAAUAAUAGGAACAGCACAAGGACUAAGGGAUUCGCGUAUAUAACCUUUGUCGAGAAGCUCUUAUACUUGACGCAUAAUCUCCUUCGUCUCCUCUGGAUUGGUACGGUAUGGUGCACAGUUUGGCAGUGAAGCACCGGGAAUUAAGUCAAUCUGAUGCUCAAUCCCUCGAAUAGGCGGUAAUCCCGGUGGCACGUCUUGUGGAAAGACGUCAGCGAACUCCUGCAAAAUGUUAGUGACAGCAGGAGGCAAAGAGGAAGGCACGUCCUCGAAUGAAAAUAAUGCCUCUUUGCACACAAAAGCAUAGCAAACAGAUUUGCUGAAAUCUAGGUCAUCAAUAUCAGAUUUGGUGGCAAAUAAACAUGCACUUUUCAAUUUAAUUUCAGAAGCAACACUAGAUGGUUUAUUAUUAGGCUUCAUUUGUUGCUCAAAUUCUUUUGCCACAAUCUGAUUUUCACUCUUAUUCAUCUCCUAUUUUGCUUUAUUAGCUCUAUUAAUAUCAUCUUUCAAAAUGGAAUCAGGAGUCAUAGGAAGCAAAGUAAUAUUUUUAUCCUUAUGAACAAGAGUAUAGUGAUUGUUUCUACCAUGGUGUACAGAAUUUUUAUCAAAUUGCCAUGGUCUACCAAGUAAUAAGGAACAUGCUUGCAUAGGUACCACAUCACAAUCAACAUAAUCAGCAUAUGUAGAGAUACUAAAAUGCACACGAACAGUACGUGUUACCUUAACCUUGCCGCUGUUGUUGAACCAUUGGAUGUAGUAAGGAUGUGGAUGUGGUCUUGUGGUGAGAGAAAGCUUCUCCACCAUCUCCAUGCUAGCCAAGUUGUUGCAGCUCCCUCCGUCUAUGAUGACGCGCACAGAACGUUCCUUCACCACAAAACUCUAAAAGACUAGACUCUAAGACCAGCAACUAGACACGACGAUGCAACCGCAAAUUCAACAAAGCAAAACCCUAAAAAGAUUAUGCAAAGGCUCAGAUUGGUUCGGAUAUGAUGAACUAACCCUAAUUUUUUUUGGCUUUUUCGUGGACUGUAGGUAUGAAGAACAGACUCGAUCUAAACUACGAAAAACUGUAAAAUCUCACCGAGCAACCUGGAAAUCUGAUACCACUUGAUAGAGGCAAAGGUGUCCCGUCUUUCGAUGAGAUGGUGGAUUUCGCUUUGGUGGAAGUCGACUUUGACGAUCCGACUACGAACGUGCGAGGACGUCGCGCCUUAGCAAUCGCUAAACCAACUCUGAGAGGUUAUUGACCACGCCGGAGCACGAUCAACCUGACCACGAGGGUCUGUUUCCUGCGAGCAAACGAAGAACAAGCAAGAAACUAAGAUUGCAAUCUGGAUAUUGCGAAUAUAAGAUGAAAGCUUUAUUGAUCAAGGUGGGGUUCUGUGACGCCUUUGUCUAGUCGUUGAACACAAACGAAGUACGCGAAGUUGCAGCUAUGGCGAACUUUUAAUCUAAACAAAACCCAAAGUCUAAACGAUGCCCUAAGGGCUGUAUAUAUGGAGGAAGAGGGGGGAAUUUCGUGGCCCUUGGUGGAGGGGUCCGAAAUCAACCCUAUCUCUUGUUUCCCCACACAUACGGGCUCUAAAAAUAGCCUAUACUUAUGUAUUUCGAAAUUACAUGGGCCUGGCCCAAUAAUAAGGUGACGCAGCACCUAAAAUAGCCUCGGGACGAAAUUUAUGAAGUGGCAUCUUGUAUAUUUCGUCCAAGGCUUCAUGCACCCAUUAUGGUGGCUUCAAAGUCCUGAAAUCAUCACUUGUAACUCCGUUCUUGUUCCCCUUGCGCAUGCCAUCAUCUCCAUGCUUGUUCUUGCUCCAAUGUUCAUCCUUCUCCAAGCUAGGCCCUUCAUUUGUAAGCAAAACAAAUGUAUCCAAUUUAGGCAGCAUCAUAUUCUCAUGAAUAUUAGAAUCAUUACCAAGAAAUGAAAGUACCUGGUAAUUUAGUUGGCGUGCACGAGCUCUAGUAAUUGGUCCAGUAUGUAUAGCAGCAGGGGCUGUGGGUGUAACAAUUGUAUUGAUGUCCUCAUCAAAAACGGUCACACAAGUGAGGAGUUUUCUUGGCCUCGCUGGAUUCUAUAGGCGUUUUGUGAGAGAUUUCAGCACCAUUGCUGCACCUCUCAAUGAGCUUACAAAGAAAGAUGUGCCUUUUCUUUGGGGUACUGCACAGGAAGAAGCUUUCACGGUAUUGAAAGAUAAGUUGACACAUGCUCCUUUACUCCUACUUCCUGAUUUUAAUAAGACUUUUGAGCUUGAAUGUGAUGCUAGUGGAAUUGGAUUAGGAGGUGUGUUAUUACAAGAUGGCAAAUCUGUUGCAUACUUUUCUGAAAAAUUGAGUGGGCCUAGUCUGAAUUAUUCUACCUAUGAUAAAGAAUUAUAUGCUCUUGUUCGGACUUUAGAAACAUGGCAACAUUAUUUAUGGCCCAAAGAAUUUGUUAUACAUUCUGAUCAUGAAUCUUUGAAACAUAUUAAAAGUCAAGCUAAACUGAAUCGUAGACAUGCUAAAUGGGUUGAAUUCAUUGAGACUUUCCCUUAUGUCAUUAAACACAAGAAGGGAAAAGAAAAUGUUAUUGCUGAUGCAUUGUCUCGUCGCUAUACUAUGCUUUCACAACUUGACUUCAAAAUAUUUGGUUUGGAGACCAUCAAAGAUCAAUAUGUGCAUGAUGCUGAUUUUAAAGAUGUAAUGCAGAAUUGUAAAGAAGGAAGAAUGUGGAACAAGUUUGUUGUUAACGAUGGAUUUGUGUUUCGUGCUAACAAGCUAUGCAUUCCAGCUAGCUCCGUUCGUCUUUUGUUGUUGCAGGAAGCGCAUGGAGGAGGAUUAAUGGGACACUUUGGCGUGAAGAAGACGGAGGACGUACUUGCUACACAUUUCUUUUGGCCAAAGAUGAGACGGGAUGUUGAGCGUUUUAUUGCUCGCUGCACUACAUGUCAAAAAGCUAAGUCACGACUCAAUCCUCAUGGUUUAUAUAUGCCUUUGCCUGUACCUAGUGUUCCUUGGGAGGAUAUAUCUAUGGACUUUGUUUUAGGUUUACCUCGAACAAAGAAGGGGAGGGAUAGCAUAUUUGUUGUCGUGGAUAGAUUCUCGAAAAUGGCACACUUUAUACCAUGUCAUAAAAGCGAUGAUGCUGUUAAUGUUGCUGAUUUGUUCUUUCGUGAAAUUAUUCGCUUGCAUGGUGUGCCAAAUACUAUUGUUUCAGAUCGUGAUACUAAAUUUCUUAGCCACUUUUGGAGAUGUUUAUGGGCUAAGUUGGGGACUAAACUGCUUUUUAGUACUACUUGUCACCCCCAAACUGAUGGACAAACUGAAGUAGUCAAUAGAACGUUGUCUCCUAUGCUUAGGGCUGUUUUGAAGAAUAAUAAGAAAAUUUGGGAGGAAUGCUUGCCUCAUAUUGAAUUUGCUUAUAAUCGUUCAUUGCAUUCUACUACUAAGAUGUGCCCUUUUGAAGUUGUGUAUGGUUUCCUACCUCGUGCACCUAUUGAUUUGUUGCCUCUUCCAUCUUCGGAGAAGGUUAAUUUUGAUGCUAAACAACGUGCUGAAUUGAUUUUAAAAAUGCAUGAGUUAACUAAGGAAAACAUUGAGCGUAUGAAUGCUAAAUAUAAACUUGCUGGAGAUAAGGGUAGAAAACAUGUUGUGUUUGCACCUGGAGAUCUUGUUUGGUUACAUUUGCGUAAGGAUAGAUUUCCUGAUUUGCGCAAAUCAAAGUUAAUGCCACGUGUUGAUGGUCCCUUUAAGGUGUUAGAGAAAAUAAAUGAUAAUGCAUAUAAACUUGAGCUGCCUGCAGAUUUUGGGGUUAGUCCCACUUUUAACAUUGCAGAUUUGAAGCCUUAUUUGGGUGAGGAAGAUGAACUUCCGUCGAUGAUAGAGGCAAAGGUGUCCCGUCUUUCGAUGAGAUGAUGGAUAUCGCUUUGGUGGCAGUCGACUUUGAUGAUCCGACUACGAACGUGCGAGGACGUCGCGCCUUAGCAAUCGCUAAACCAACUCCGAGAGGUUAUUGACCACGCCGGAGCACGAUCAACCUGACCACGAGGGUCUGUUUCCUGCGAGCAAACGAAGAACAAGCAAGAAACUGAGAUUGCAAUCUGGAUAUUGCGAAUAUAAGAUGAAAGCUUUAUUGAUCAAGGUGGGGUUCUGUGACGCCUUUGUCUGGUCGUUGAACACAAACGAAGUACGCGAAGUUGCAGCUAUGGCGAACUUUUAAUCUAAACAAAACCCAAAGUCUAAGCGAUGCCCUAAGGGCUGUAUAUAUGGAGGAAGAGGGGGGAAUUUCGUGGCCCUUGGUGGAGGGGUCCGAAAUCAACCCUAUCUCUUGUUUCCCCACACAUACGGACUCUAAAAAUAGCCUAUACUUAUGUAUUUCGAAAUUACAUGGGCCUGGCCCAAUAAUAAGGUGACGCAGCACCUAAAAUAGCCUCGGGACGAAAUUUAUGAAGUGGCAUCUUGUAUAUUUCGUCCAAGGCUUCAUGCACCCAUUAUGGUGGCUUCAAAGUCCUGAAAUCAUCACUUGUAACUCCGUUCUUGUUCCCCUUGCGCAUGCCAUCAUCUCCAUGCUUGUUCUUGCUCCAAUGUUCAUCCUUCUCCAAGCUAGGCCCUUCAUUUGUAAGCAAAACAAAUGUAUCCAAUUUAGGCAGCAUCAUAUUCUCAUGAACAUUAGAAUCAUUACCAAGAAACGAAAGUACCUAGUAAUUUAGUUGGCGUGCACGAGCUCUAGUAAUUGGUCCAGUAUGUAUAGCAGCAGGGGCUGUGGGUGUAACAAUUGUAUUGAUGUCCUCAUCAACAUAUAAGUGAAGCUCUUAUUCAUUUCAAAAGAUUGACAAUGUUCAUCAUUAAACCAUCCCAAUAUUGGUGAAUAAACCUUACUUGCAUCAAAUUUACAUGCUACAACAUGCUUAAAUAAGCAAACAUGCAAUAAGUCAUUCAACACAGAAUCAUCACCAAGAUUAGAGGUCAUAUCAAAAUGAUUAAACAUUGGUUCUUUUGCAUCAAUAGUUAAUUCAAUGGGUGCACUCAAAAUUGUUGGUAUUUCAGUUGUUUGAUCACAUGGCAAAGUCAAAUUAUCAAUGUAGUCCUCUAAAAUAGGUGGUGUGAUCAAAGUAGUGGGUAGCUCAUCAGAUGGUGCAUUCAAAUUGACAAGGCAUUCAUCAUUCUCAUGUAGAGAUGGAAGAUCAAUACCUUUGUCAUUACCUCUUAUGAUCAACUCAGAUGAUGUAGCCACUCUCGGGGGCGAUGUGUCACAUGGUGGAGGUGAUGUAGUCCUGACAUCAACGGAUGUCAUAGUAUGCCUAGUAGUUGAAGGAACAAUCAUAUCAACUCUUGGAAUGUGCACCGUGUGCUUGUUCUCCUCGUGGCCAACACGUCGUUUUAUUUCCUGUUCAGCUUUGCAAGCAAGAUGAAACAAAUGGUCCAUAGGAUAACACUCUUCAUGAAUUAGUAUCUCUUGAAUAUCACGGUUUAAUCCUCCCCAAAAUCUAUCCAUAAAAUCAUCUUCACUUUCUUCUAAAGAGGAAUGCAACAAGGUAGUUUGUAAAUCAUCAUAAUAUUUUGUUACAGUUUCACUACCUUGUUUUAAGUGUUGCAACUUCUUAAUCAUGUCACGAGUAUAAUAAGCAGGGACGAAAGUAUGUCGCAUGGCAAGUUUCAAAUCAUCCCAAGUAGUAGGUAUAUAAUCAGGGUGUAACCGACAAUAUUCACUCCACCAAACCAAAGCAUAACCAGUGAAAGAACCAACCGCAACCUUAACCUUUUUAUGUUCAUCGAAAUUAUGGGAAGCAAAUAUAUUUUUUAUGUCGAACUCCCAUUCAAUAUAUAAAGCAGGUUUAAAACGGCCAUUAAAUGGUGGUAUAGAUACAUUAACCUGAUCAUGUGCAUUUGGAUGUUUGUGCACCUCUCGUGACGGUUGUGGUAUUUGCAAAGGUGGUGGCACGUCUCCCGCAAUCGACAAAGCCCAUGAAUUGACUCUGGAUCCUGUCAUGAUUAGUAGAACAAGAAACAAAACCCAACAAUAAUGUUCCUAUAACUACUAGGAUGUGGUGGUAAAACACUCACAGUAAAGCAAAUAUCAAUGUCUUACAAGUUCUUACCAUGCAGCAGGCGGUGAUCGGCAACCAGUGGUGUCAAGUAACUCCGAAUAUUGAGUAAAGCGAUUGCCAGGGGAGCGUACGUAUACUGGUGUAGAAAUAUGUGGAGCUGGGUUGGCUAUAUAUGGUAGCAAAAGAUUAGCAAUAAUCAAUUCAAAGAUGCAAUGUUGAAUAAACGCUCAACGACGGUACUGUGCUGGUCCUAGGCUAGACCAAACUAGAGACGCGAGCCUAGAACACUAAUGAGGUCACAUCGUAGCACAACUAGCAUCAAUAAAGGAAAUGAAGUAGCUCUGGACAGCAAUAUAUAAGUGAAGAUCACAAUAGCAGUAGACCUAUUUAGAAGCUGAUGUUGAGGUGCCAAAUACUGAACUAGCUUCUGCAACUAUUUAGAUGCGGCUCGUCGCUAGCUUUCAUUUGAGUACUCGCGGAGCCAAAACAGACUUCAUAUGAGGAAGUUAUGCCUGUUUCACUGAACAGUGCACAAAACAGAUUCCAAUCCGAAUUCAACUACGAGAUUGUGUCUAGAUAGAUCCGAAUUUUGUUUUUUUUUCUCCUCUCUUUUUUUCUCACACUUUUUUUCUUUUCCUUUUUUUUCUAUCUUUUUUUUUCUCUCCCUCUUUCCAAAACAAACUAGAUAAGAUGUAGAUUGGAUCAAGCGAAGAUGGGAACGAUCUCAACUAUGAUUAUGACAAUGAACAGUGGGUAGCACGUGGAGGAAAUUGAUGGAUGGGUGGUGGACAGCGGAAGGGAUAACGAUGCAGCGGCAACGUGACUAAUGUGAACAGAACUCGAAACUCUAAACGACCUAGACACUAAGACCAGCAACUCGACACGACGAUGCAACCGAUAAUUCAACUAUGCAAGC
rnacentral:lncRNA from 1 species